rnacentral:rRNA from 1 species
UACAGAGGUGGCAAGCGUUGUUCGGAAUUACUGGGCGUAAAGGGCGAGUAGGUGGCCAUCUAAGUCAGACGUGAAAUCCCCCGGCUUAACCUGGGAACUGCGUCUGAUACUGGACGGCUAGAGUUUGGGAGAGGGAUGCAGAAUUCCAGGUGUAGCGGUGAAAUGCGUAGAUAUCUGGAGGAAUACCGGUGGCGAAGGCGGCAUCCUGGACUGCAACUGACACUGAUGAACGAAAGCCAGGGGAGCAAACGGG